rnacentral:rRNA from 1 species
UACGUAGGGUGCAAGCGUUGUCCGGAAUUAUUGGGCGUAAAGAGCUCGUAGGCGGUUUGUUGCGUCGGCUGUGAAAUCCCGAGGCUCAACCUCGGGUCUGCAGUCGAUACGAGCAAACUAGAGUGUUGCAGGGGAGACUGGAAUUCCUGGUGUAGCGGUGAAAUGCGCAGAUAUCAGGAGGAACACCAAUAGCGAAGGCAGCUCGCUGGGACGGUAUUGACGCUAAGGCGCGAAAGCGUGGGGAGCAAACAGG